ensembl:lncRNA
CUUUCUGUGUGUGCGUCUUCCACACUUUUCUUGCAUUCUCUCACUUUAUUUUCUUUCAACCCUACCCAAAUGUUUCUACAGCUUGCCAUGAAGCACAAGUGUUAGACCACUGCCAAAACCAACUGGGCUAAGGGAGGGUCAGCAAUCGCCAGUCGCUGUACAGGAGAAGGAUUCCAGAUUUUAUUCUUUGUAAAAGUUUUAAUAUGAUUAAAAUUUGUUAACAAUGUUAACAUUUUAAUGUUUUGGGUUAUUGUACUCCGGUGCAUCUCGUUCCUAAAGAUGGAUCGUGCAGGGGACCGAAGAGAGGUAAACAAAACUGCUUGAGGCUGUCAACUGAAUGUUUCAUGCUUCUGUUUGCCAAAAAAAAGUUACAAGCCACAGCUAUGACUCUACUUGAUAAUGACAGUCACUCAAGACACUUCCUCUUUUCGUUCGCUCACACACAAAUGAGAGCGUACACGUGUUGCCAAAUCAUCAUCGCCAAUUACUCCCACCCAAGGAACAGCUUGGCUCCCAUUUAUACUGGUUAUUUAUGAGGGCUGCGGUAAUUAUGAAGUCUCGAUUUAUGAGUGAGGGCGCCCUCUGAUUGCUCGACUUUGGAUUGGCUGCCAGUAUAUAACAUAUAAAUAAGACACAUAUGUAAAAAAUAGCCUAGAUUUGAUGCCUAAGUUGUAUUUUAAUAGAUAUUGGUGGGAGUGGGAAGUCGAAUGAAAGGGAUGAUCACAUUUCUGUUUGACAUUUAAUGUUUCCUUUUCUGCUCUGAUUUGUGGACAUUAAACUCGGACCAUGAUUUCUAAAUCUAUCAAAACAGUAUUAGUUAAAAAAAAGUUUAAGAUAUGAUUUCAUAAACUGCUGAUGAGACUGAGUGAUGAGUGGUUUGGGUGACAAGAUAUAAAAAUGUUGAAAUAUUUUUCCCUCUUGUUAUGUGUCUGUCAUUGAAAAACAACCUAAACUACACGGAAUAGAUUUUGGGAAGUGUACUUGAAGAUUUCAUUUAAACAAAUAAGCUUUUAAACUAUAUGAAUUACUCUGUGUAAUACUUUAUGUUAACAGGGGUAAUUCAGUAAGCCAGCUUCUGCACUGUAAAAAGCAACAUGUAAUUCUUCUACUACUAUUAUCUCGGUGUCUGUAGAGCUAAUUUGUCCCUGAACAUGGGGGUGCUUUGAAACUGAUCCUGGCUGUAUUUCAACUCUAAACUCUUCAGUAGUCAUACCUUGUGCUUAUUGUGUAACUUGGGUUGGUCAUUAUAAUAUGUAUGCUGAUAAAGGACGAAAUGUCUUAAAUAACAGCAGUGGCGUGUGGUAGUUUUGUCUUCUUUUAGUUUUUUCUUUUUCGUUUGUUUCUUUCUUUUUUUGUUCAAUCCGCUCACUGUUCGUAACGUUGGCUUCUUUGCUGGCAGGACACCGCCCUCACGCUUGAGAUGUAUUUGAUUCUUUUAUAUUUUCAGUUUUGUAAUUCAUGAUGUUACAAUGCACUGACGAACCUUAUCUUGCAGAACUCGGAGUUCACAAUGAAAUGUUCCGGUUGCCUAACACUUGUGUGCUUUUAUUCCUCUAACACUUUUGAUGUUACUUGUUUUAAUAAAAAAUAGAUAUAAUGACAAAUUUAUAUUAUUCUGUGUCCUUUUUAUAGCCAACUCGAGCAGUUCAAUCAAACAGUGGAAUCAAAAGUUGCACGUGAUUUUAUGGACUGCUGUUUACCGUUUUGGAUUUCGCUCACAUUGUUGUUUCCGGCUUACAAACAAAACGCUGCUACAAAGUUUAGUGUCUCAGAGGUCUUUAUGCCAUUUUUGCUGAUGUUCAGAGUUCCACCUCAUCUUUCAUCACACUGAUCUCUCAAUUCUAUAAUGCUGUAAGAUAUAAAAUAAAGUCCACUAUCACAAUAAA